UUGGCAAGCAUAUAACUAUACUACUUACUAAAGAUGAAAUCAAAUUUGCAUGCACAGGUGAGCACUCACUGAAACACCUUGGAUUCAUCACAUAUUUGAAUAUGUUAUGCAUCAAUAGCAGCAACAGCUUUUCCAGGUUCUGCAAUCAUUUGAACAAAAUGGUAGAGACAUCCAGCACACUCCAUUAAAAAAAAAAACAAAAAACAAAAACAAAACAAACAAACAAACAACAAAAAAAAGUAAAAAACAAAAUACUCCACCAAAGAGUAGGACUAAUUAACCCUUAGGAAGUAAAGGAUUCACAAGUCUCAUGAAGUUUCUGAAACUUAAAAAACUUAAAAAAAUGUUAAGUCCUCUCUCCAAAGUUUAUAUAAACAAUAACAACUGCUAGAGAGGAGAGAAUUUUUUGAGACAGCAUUUCUCUGUGGCUUUGGAGUCUAUUCUGGCUCUGUAUAUCAGGCUGGCCUCAAACUCACAGAGAUCCUCUUGCCUCUGCCUCCCGAGUGCUGGGAUUAAAGGUAUGUGCUACCAAUGCCCAGCGAGAAGAGACUUUCUAAACUAUCAAACUGCCAUGCUGGUGAGAGGUUUUGGGUUAUGUAAACUCCUUGAGUCAUCCAUGCUCCUGUAGAUAACGCACACAGAGACUCAUAAAUAAUGUCAGUAAAUUCUUUGUUUUCUGUGGAUGAACUUUGGUGGAUUCAUUGCUUUGUUCUAUCUAGAACAAUGGUUCUCAACCUGUGAAUUGUGAACACGUUGGAGUCCAUAUGAUUCUUUCAGACUGGUUGCCUAAGAUCAUCUGCAUGCCAGAACAUGCAGACCAGCUGAGACAGACAGCCUUGUAAGACUGAGCAACUCUAGAUUCCUGAACUUUCCAUUGACAACUAGACAUUGUUGGACCACAGUAUAUAAGCCCUCAUCCAGUGGCUGAUGGAAGCAGAGGCAGACAUCCACAGAUACACACUGAACUGAAAUCUGAAACCUAGUUGCAGAGAGGGAGGAAUGAAGAUCGACGGGGUUGGUACCAGGUUGGAGAAACCCACAGAAACAGCUGGCCUGAACAAGGGGGAGCACAUCGACCCCAGAUAUUGUCUGGGAGGCCAGUACAGGACUGAUCCAGACCCCUGAACAUGGGUGUCAAUGAGGAAGCCUCUGCACUCUAGGAGGCCGCUGGUAGUGGAUUAGUAUUUUUCCCUGGUGUAAGAAGGGACUUUGAGAGGGCUUCCCAAGUGAAGGGAUGCACUCUAGCCCGGACACAUGGGGAAGGGCCUAGGCCCAGCCCAGGAAGAUUUGGU
rnacentral:lncRNA from 1 species